rnacentral:rRNA from 1 species
AAGAACAUGGAUGAGAGUAACUGUUCAUGCUCUUGACGGUAUCUAACCAGAAAGCACGGGCUAACUACGUGCCAGCAGCCGCGGUAAUACGUAGGUGGCAAGCGUUGUCCGGGAUUUAUUGGGCGUAAAGCGAGCGCAGGCGGUUUCUUAAGUCUGAUGUGAAAGCCUUCCGGCUCAACCGGGGAAGGGUCAUUGGAAACUGGGAGACUUGAGUGCAGAAGAGGAGAGUGGAAUUCCAUGUGUAGCGGUGAAAUGCGUAGAUAUAUGGAGGAACACCAGUGGCGAAGGCGGCUCUCUGGUCUGUAACUGACGCUGAGGCUCGAAAGCGUGGGGAGCAAACAGGAUUAGAUACCCUGGUAGUCCACGCCGUAAACGAUGAGUGCUAAGUGUUGGAGGGUUUCCGCCCUUCAGUGCUGCAGCUAACGCAUUAAGCACUCCGCCUGGGGAGUACGACCGCAAGGUUGAAACUCAAAGGAAUUGACGGGGGCCCGCACAAGCGGUGGAGCAUGUGGUUUAAUUCGAAGCAACGCGAAGAACCUUACCAGGUCUUGACAUCCUUUGACCACUUUAGAGAUAGAGCUUCCCCUUCGGGGGCAAAGUGACAGGUGGUGCAUGGUUGUCGUCAGCUCGUGUCGUGAGAUGUUGGGUUAAGUCCCGCAACGAGCGCAACCCUUAUUGUUAGUUGCCAUCAUUCAGUUGGGCACUCUAGCAAGACUGCCGGUGACAAACCGGAGGAAGGUGGGGAUGACGUCAAAUCAUCAUGCCCCUUAUGACCUGGGCUACACACGUGCUACAAUGGGAAGUACAACGAGUUGCGAAGUCGCGAGGGUAAGCUAAUCUCUUAAAGCUUUUCUCAGUUCGGAUUGCAGGCUGCAACUCGCCUGCAUGAAGCCGGAAUCGCUAGUAAUCGCGGAUCAGCACGCCGCGGUGAAUACGUUCCCGGGCCUUGUACACACCGCCCGUCACACCACGAGAGUUUGUAACACCCAGAAGUCGGUGGAGGUAACCUUUUAUGGAGCCAGCCGCCUAAGGUGGGAUAGAUGAUGGGGGAA